GACGAACGCUGGCGGCGUGCUUAACACAUGCAAGUCGAACGGUAAGGCCCUCCGGGGUACACGAGUGGCGAACGGGUGAGUAACACGUGGGUGAUCUGCCCUGCACUUCGGGAUAAGCCUGGGAAACUGGGUCUAAUACCGGAUAGGACCACUGCCUGCAUGGGUGGUGGUGGAAAGCUUUUGCGGUGUGGGAUGGGCCCGCGGCCUAUCAGCUUGUUGGGGGGGUGAUGGCCUACCACGGCGACGCCGGGUAGCCGGCCUGAGAGGGUGACCGGCCACACGGGGACUGGGAUACGGCCCAGGCUCCUACGGGAGGCAGCAGUGGUGAAUAGUGCACAAUGGGCGCAGGCCUGAGGCAGCGACGCCGCGUGAGGGAUGACGGCCUUCGGGUUGUAAACCUCUUUCAGCACCGACGAAGCGCAAGUGACGGUAGGUGCAGAAGAAGGACCGGUCAACUACGUGCCAGCCGCCGCAGUAA
rnacentral:rRNA from 1 species